rnacentral:tRNA from 1 species
GCAGCCGUAGUGAAGUGGUAUCAUGCAACCUUCCCAAGGUUGAGCUCCGGGUUCAAUUCCCGGCGGCUGCA